UGAACAUGUGGAGCAGCAGCAGGGCCGGGUGAGGACACCCCCUCGCUGGAUCAGGAUUACCCCGCUGCUGAAUCAAGCCUCCACCGACCAGUCAGCGUGGAGGACACCAGGCUGUGGCUUGAAACAGGAAUGCCAAGUGACAACCAGUGAACAGGGGAGUUGAGGUGACCCGAGAGGAGAUGUCAUCCACCGGGGAGUGAAGUGUGGACCAUGAAUGCUGUGAAAUGCUCUGAGGUGCUGGUCAAUGGUCCAGAGGACAGACAGUGUCCUGGACACCUGCAGAGGGCUACACGGGGUCACGGAGACGCCGCACGGCCGAUGGAGAGGAGGAACCACGUAGUGAAGAAGCAGCUGCCGUCAGCAGAGGGCC